rnacentral:rRNA from 1 species
UACGGGGGGGGCAAGCGUUGUUCGGAAUUACUGGGCGUAAAGGCUCGUAGGCGGCCAACUAAGUCAGACGUGAAAUCCCUCGGCUUAACCGGGGAACUGCGUCUGAUACUGGAUGGCUUGAGAUUGGGAGAGGGAUGCGGAAUUCCAGGUGUAGCGGUGAAAUGCGUAGAUAUCUGGAGGAACACCGGUGGCGAAGGCGGCAUCCUGGACCAACACUGACGCUGAGUGAGCGAAAGCCAGGGGGAGCAAACGGG